rnacentral:rRNA from 1 species
GACGAACGCUGGCGGCGUGCUUAACACAUGCAAGUCGAACGGAAAGGCCCUGCUUUUGUGGGGUGCUCGAGUGGCGAACGGGUGAGUAACACGUGAGUAACCUGCCCUUGACUUUGGGAUAACUUCAGGAAACUGGGGCUAAUACCGGAUAGGAGCUCCUGCUGCAUGGUGGGGGUUGGAAAGUUUCGGCGGUUGGGGAUGGACUCGCGGCUUAUCAGCUUGUUGGUGGGGUAGUGGCUUACCAAGGCUUUGACGGGUAGCCGGCCUGAGAGGGUGACCGGCCACAUUGGGACUGAGAUACGGCCCAGAAUGCUACGGGAGGCAGCAGUGGGGAAUAUUGCACAAUGGGCGGAAGCCUGAUGCAGCAACGCCGCGUGCGGGAUGACGGCCUUCGGGUUGUAAACCGAUUUCGCCUGUGACGAAGCGUGAGUGACGGUAAUGGGUAAAGAAGCACCGGCUAACUACGUG